GUAUGUCUGUGUGAAAGUGUCAUAAGCCUUGGAACUGGAGUUACAGACAGGUGACUACAGGUUGUUCAUGGCUAAAAGGAAGGAGGAGGAAGAUAGAAGGAGAAAAGGAGGAAGAGGAAGAGGAGGAGGAGGCAGAGGAAGAAGAGGAACCCAAACAAAACUUUGUACACAUGGAAAUGCAGGCUAGAGCCAUACCACAGACUCCAGUGUGGACAAACCUCCGGAAGCAAUUGUAAUGCUGACUCUUUGCUCAAACUGGAAGAUCCUGUCCCCGUGGUUCAAAGGCAUGAGCUGUCUUUGCUGUUGUGUGACUGGUGAUGUCAUCAAUGGUAAUCUGAACGAUUCCCUUUUGAAGAC
rnacentral:lncRNA from 1 species